rnacentral:rRNA from 1 species
AUUGAACGCUGGCGGCAGGCCUAACACAUGCAAGUCGAACGAGUGGCGGACGGGUGAGUAAUGUCUGGGAAACUGCCUGAUGGAGGGGGAUAACUACUGGAAACGGUAGCUAAUACCGCAUACCAUCGGAUGUGCCCCGAUGGGAUUAGCUAGUAGUUGGGGUAAAGGCUCACCUAGGCGACUAUCCCUAGCUGGUCUGAGAGGAUGACCGGCCACAGUGGAAUUGAGACACGGGCCAGACUCCUACGGGAGUCAGAAGUGGGGAAUAUUGCACAAUGGGCGCUAGCCUGAUGCAGCCAUGCCGCGUGUAUGAAGAAGGCCUUCGGGUUGUAAAGUACUUGCAGCGGGGAGGCGUUACCCGCAGAAGAAGCACCGGUUAACGCCGUGCCAGCAGCCGCGGUAAUUC